rnacentral:lncRNA from 1 species
UUUUGAGAAGAAAGAAGAGAGUCUCCUUUCUAUUCUUUCUCUCUCUUUAUACUUUCUCUCUCAUUUCUCUACUUACUCUCUCUAGAUGAUCUAUGGGACCCAGCAUCAGGUCCUAUCAACCUGAUCUACGAACCCGAGUUGACCUUCUAUAAAGGGCCCUGAUCUGUCCUGAUGUCCGGGUCGCCUACUGGACCGAUUAUCCGACCUUGUCAAGUAUCUAGAAAACCCACUGAUGAUGAACUAUGUUAAACGACUUUGGCUCUGAUUGAGUCCCUACCCUAUGAUUUACUGAUCGAAUUGGUUAGGCCUGAC